rnacentral:rRNA from 1 species
CCAACCGGGAUUGCCUUAGUAACGGCGAGUGAAGCGGCAAAAGCUCAAAUUUGAAAUCUGGUACCUUCGGUGCCCGAGUUGUAAUUUGGAGAGGGCAACUUUGGGGCCGUUCCUUGUCUAUGUUCCUUGGAACAGGACGUCAUAGAGGGUGAGAAUCCCGUGUGGCGAGGAGUGCGGUUCUUUGUAAAGUGCCUUCGAAGAGUCGAGUUGUUUGGGAAUGCAGCUCUAAGUGGGUGGUAAAUUCCAUCUAAAGCUAAAUAUUGGCGAGAGACCGAUAGCGAACAAGUACAGUGAUGGAAAGAUGAAAAGAACUUUGAAAAGAGAGUGAAAAAGUACGUGAAAUUGUUGAAAGGGAAGGGCAUUUGAUCAGACAUGGUGUUUUGUGCCCUCUGCUCCUUGUGGGUAGGGGAAUCUCGCAUUUCACUGGGCCAGCAUCAGUUUUGGUGGCAGGAUAAAUCCAUAGGAAUGUAGCUUGCCUCGGUAAGUAUUAUAGCCUGUGGGAAUACUGCCAGCUGGGACUGAGGACUGCGACGUAAGUCAAGGAUGCUGGCAUAAUGGUUAUAUGCCGCCCGUCUUGAAACACGGACCUCCUGUGUGAGGGGUCCCCUACUAGUG